rnacentral:misc_RNA from 1 species
UACGGAGGGUGCGAGCGUUGCUCGGAAUUAUUGGGCGUAAAGGGUAGGUAGGUGGUCUCAUUUGUCUGGGGUGAAAUCCCUGAGCUCAACUCAGGACGUGCCUUAGAAACGGUGAGACUAGAGUCCUGGAGAGGGUCGUGGAAUUCCCGGUGUAGCGGUGAAAUGCGUAGAGAUCGGGAGGAACACCAGAGGCGAAGGCGGCGGCCUGGACAGGAACUGACACUGAACUACGAAAGCGUGGGGAGCAAACAGG